AUUGAACGCUGGCGGCAUGCCUUACACAUGCAAGUCGAACGGUAACAGGUCUUCGGAUGCUGACGAGUGGCGAACGGGUGAGUAAUACAUCGGAACGUGCCCGAGAGUGGGGGAUAACGAGGCGAAAGCCUUGCUAAUACCGCAUACGAUCUCAGGAUGAAAGCAGGGGACCGCAAGGCCUUGCGCUCACGGAGCGGCCGAUGGCAGAUUAGGUAGGUGGUGGGAUAAAAGCUUACCAAGCCGACGAUCUGUAGCUGGUCUGAGAGGACGACCAGCCACACUGGGACUGAGACACGGCCCAGACUCCUACGGGAGGCAGCAGUGGGGAAUUUUGGACAAUGGGCACAAGCCUGAUCCAGCCAUGCCGCGUGCAGGAUGAAGGCCUUCGGGUUGUAAACUGCUUUUGUACGGAACGAAAAGACUCCUUCUAAUAAAGGGGGUCCAUGACGGUACCGUAAGAAUAAGCACCGGCUAACUACGUGCCAGCAGCCGCGGUAACAC
rnacentral:rRNA from 1 species